CAUUUUCAGUAAAGAAGUCCUGAGUAAACACGUUGUCGUUGAAUACCGCUUCUCUGCCGAACCUUAUAUUAGUGCCUCAUGCAGUAAUGUCUCAGUUUUAUCUCAGUUAAUGCCUGCGGGCUAAGAAAACACUCUAAGGAAUUUUGCAAAAUGGCAAAGAUUAAAGGUCAAGUUAAGUGGUUCAACGAGUCUAAAGGUUUUGGUUUCAUUACUCCUGCUGACGGCAGCAAAGACGUGUUCGUACACUUCUCUGCAAUCCAGGGUAACGGCUUCAAAACUCUGGCUGAAGGCCAGAACGUUGAGUUCGAAAUUCAGGACGGCCAGAAAGGCCCAGCUGCAGUUAACGUCACUGCUAU
rnacentral:sRNA from 1 species